UUUGGGGGGAAGGGUUGUCUGGAUCGAGGCCGCAGUAGAGAGAGAUGACUGUGGCUUCGGACCAGGCUUCGUCCCUCUCAAA
rnacentral:pre_miRNA from 1 species